rnacentral:lncRNA from 1 species
GAAAUAAAUGUGCAACCUUGUGGCGACCUGGCCAGUCAUCUGAUGAGUUAUUACUCUGUUUCUCCUAUUUUUCCUUCCUAUUACCUUGUUUAUUAGUUUUAUAUGUGAUCGGGUUAAUUGGUUCGGGUCCGGAAAGGUCUUGAGAAUGCCUGAGACACUUAGUCUCUUUUGAGGAAGCUUAAGUUGGAAAAGUCAACUGGAUAUUUACUAAUGAGUUAGAGUGCUCAAAUACGAGUUUGAUGGUUCAAAUAGCUUCAGGAGGUUAUUUGGGACUUAUGAGCAUGAUCAGAAUGUGUUUUGGAGGUAUUGGAGUAGAUUUAGGCUUGAAUUGGCCAAGUUGAUAUUUUGGCAAUUUUCGAUUGAUAGGUGAGAUUUUGAUAUAUGGGUCGGAAUAGAAUUUUGGGGGAUGAAAUAGUUUCGAUGUGUUAUUUGGGAUGUAUCUGCAAAAUUUCAGGUCAUGUGGACAUGGAUUGAUUAGGGUUUGUUAUCAAAAGCAUAAUUUAGAAGAUUUUGGAAUUCUUAGGCUUGAAUCCGAU